rnacentral:rRNA from 1 species
UACAGAGGGUGCGAGCGUUUAAUCGGAAUUACUGGGCGUAAAGCGCGCGUAGGCGGCUUUGCAAGUCGGGUGUGAAAUCCCCAGGCUUAACCUGGGAACUGCAUUCGAGACUGCAUUGCUAGAGUAUGGGAGAGGGAAGUGGAAUUUCCGGUGUAGCGGUGAAAUGCGUAGAUAUCGUAAGGAAGACCAGUGGCGAAGGCGGGUCUCUGGACAGUUCCUGACGCUGAGGCACGAAGGUCAGGGGAGCAAACGGG